UACAGAGGGUGCGAGCGUUGUCCGGAAUCACUGGGCGUAAAGAGCGUGUAGGCGGCUCGCUAAGUCUUGCGUGAAAUCUCGGGGCUCAACCCCGAGCGGUCGUGAGAAACUGGUGGGCUAGAGUGCGGGAGAGGAGAGUGGAAUUCCUGGUGUAGCGGUGAAAUGCGCAGAUAUCAGGAAGAACACCCGUGGCGAAGGCGGCUCUCUGGAACGCAACUGGACGCUGAGACGCGAAAGCGUGGGGAGCAAACAGG
rnacentral:rRNA from 1 species